GAUGAAGAACGCAGCGAAAUGCGAAAAGUAAUGUGAAUUGCAGAAUUCAGUGAACCAUCGAAUCUUUGAACGCACAUUGCGCCCGCUGGAACUCCGGCGGGCACGCCUGUCCGAGCAUCAUUUCAACCCUCAGGCCCCCCUUCGCGGGCGGGCCUGGUGUUGGGGCCCGGCCGCUACCCUGCGGCCGUCCCCUAAAUUCAGUGGCGGCCUCGCCGUGAUCCCUUGCGUAGUAAUGCACCUCGCACCGGAGAGCGCCGUGGCCACGCCGUAAAACCCCCAAUUUUCAAUGGUUGACCUCGGAUCAGGUGGGAAUACCCGCUGAACUUAAGCAUAUCAAUAAGCGGAGGA
rnacentral:misc_RNA from 1 species